rfam:Spinacia oleracea cultivar SynViroflay scaffold29867.con0005.1, whole genome shotgun sequence.
UUGCCAUGAUGAGAUUCAUUGAAAUUAAUGAAAGCAGCAAUGCUUAAUGUCCGGUUGACAAUCAUGUCAAUCCUGAGCGGUUAACUGAGCAA